CCUACGGGGGGCAGCAGUGAGGAAUAUUGGUCAAUGGACGAGAGUCUGAACCAGCCAAGUAGCGUGAAGGAUGACUGCCCUAUGGGUUGUAAACUUCUUUUAUAUAGGAAUAAAAUGUUCCACGUGUGGGAUUUUGUAUGUACCAUAUGAAUAAGGAUCGGCUAACUCCGUGCCAGCAGCCGCGGUAAUACGGAGGAUCCGAGCGUUAUCCGGAUUUAUUGGGUUUAAAGGGAGCGUAGGUGGAUUGUUAAGUCAGUUGUGAAAGUUUGCGGCUCAACCGUAAAAUUGCAGUUGAAACUGGCAGUCUUGAGUACAGUAGAGGUGGGCGGAAUUCGUGGUGUAGGGGUGAAAUGCUUAGAUAUCACGAAGAACUCCGAUUGCGAAGGCAGUUCACUGGACUGCAACUGACACUGAGGCUCGAAAGUGUGGGUAUCAAACAGGAUUAGAUACCCGGGUAGUC
rnacentral:rRNA from 1 species